rnacentral:rRNA from 1 species
GACGAACGCUGGCGGCGUGCUUAACACAUGCAAGUCGAACGGGCCUUGUCCCCUUUUUUUUUGGGGGUGGGGUUAGUGGCGAACGGGUGAGUAACACGUGAGUAACCUGCCCCUCACUUCUGGAUAACCGCUUGAAAGGGUGGCUAAUACGGGGUGUUCUGGCCUGCUCGCAUGGGUGGGUUUGGAAAGAUUCGACCGGUUUUGGUUGUUUUGGUGGGGGAUGGGCUCGCGGCCUAUCAGCUUGUGGGUGGGGUGAUGGCCUGCCAAGGCUUUGACGGGUAGCCGGCCUGAGAGGGUGGGCGGUCACACUGGGACUGAGACACGGCCCAGACUCCUACGGGAGGCAGCAGUGGGGAAUAGUGCACAAUGGGCGCAAGCCUGAUGCAGCGACGCCGCGUGAGGGAUGGAGGCCGUCGGGUUGUGAACCUCUUUCGCCAGUGAAGAAGGUCCUGCUCUUUGUGGUGGGGUUGACGGUAGCUGGGUUAAUGAAGCGCCGGCUAACUACGUG